rnacentral:rRNA from 1 species
GCUGAGCGUGCUAAGGUAGCGAUAUUGGCCUUUUAUUGAAGGCCAGUGAAUGGCAAGACUAGGAAUAACUGUACUUUGUGUAUGAAAAAAAACUUUUCAUCUAAGUGAAAAGACUUAGUUAAUAAAGGAAGACGAAAAGACCCCGCGGCACUUUACCUUUUCUCAUACUUCUGUCUACAACCUUAAAAGUUUAUAAGGUUUGAUUGGGGCAAUCUUGGAACCAAUAAAGCUUCCAAUUUCUUUAAAAGAAUAUUAAAAAUUUACUAAGGACUAAAAAGUAGUUACCCCGGGGAUAACAGCGUAAUCCAACUAAAGAGUACACAUCGAAAGUUGGGUUUGCGACCUCGAUGUUGGCUUAAGGAUAUCCACAUAAGUGCAACCGCUAUGACAGGACAGUCUGUUCGACUAUUAUACCCUUACAUGAGCUGAGUUAAGACCGGCGCAAGCUAGGUUGGUUCUAUCUCCUUUACCUCAACAUCUUAUCUUGAUGUACGAAGAC